GGGCGAUUAGCUCAGCGGGAGAGCACUGCCUUCACACGGCAGGGGUCGCAGGUUCGAACCCUGCAUCGCCCA
rnacentral:tRNA from 1 species